rnacentral:lncRNA from 1 species
CAGAAAAUGCCAUAUUUUGUUUCACGAUUGUGUACAUUCCCUCCCAUUGCUUCCAGGCAAGACUUGUAAGGAGAGAAGACAUGGAUGUAGACCUUGUUUCCAUGAACAGUGGGAGUGCUUUGGCUCAGAACAGAGAAAAAAAUAAUCAGGCAUCCAGACACUCAGCAGAAUCUUCGUUUAAGGUAAUAGCUGUUCCAGGGAUAGGAAAUGCUAAGAAAAAAUGGGUAUCCCAUCGAAGCUAUCCAGUGCAAUUCAGCAAUGGAUGGGAAAGUGGGACAAGGAAGACGAAAACUUUCAACUAAUCUUUCAAACUUCAACAUGCAAAACAUAUGGCAAGCUGUUUCUUUUCAAGAGCAUUAUCUCUACCUGACCCUCUCUGCACCUACAGGAAGCUCCCCGA